CAGUCAAGAGCGGCGCGGCGAGGAACGCUCGCGAGAACACCCGCUCUCGCAAGAUCUCGCGGCAGGAGUGGCUACGUGGCCUCGCGCUGGCGCAUGCGCGCUGCGAGCGUCCCCGUUUUGGCGCCAAAUCCCCGCGGCUGGUGCUGAGGCUUGUCAGGUCGAAGACGACCGUUGAUGUUCCCGUCGCUUUCCCGGGCUUGGGGAUGAGAGGAGCUUAAUGAUGGCUCCUGGUGUGGGGAGCAUACAGCCAGUGCCCCUCUACUGCCUCAUGCACUUCCUAUUUAGCUGCUGGUCGUGCCCAGGGUUUAGCGGCUGCGGAAGAGGGUGGCUUCUGCGCGUUUGCGUGCGGGUUAUUUGGUUUGGACAGGGAUCGUGGACUCCACAUCCAGUGAAAACUGGAUAGAAACCAGCUACAAAGUUUGCAAGCACUAACUUUGUAGCUGGUUGGCUCUUUGUAUAGCUGGACAGAGAUUGUUAUGGCUUGAUAAUUGGCUCGCAGGUGUGGCCAGCAUAAAUUUAUGUUGAGAUGAACUAGUUAAUUGCCUGAUAUACAUAAUACGGCAGAGGCCUGUGAGAUCCCUUCCAGCGGUCGUGUCCUAUUGGUCUAUGGCGGGCGGUGGCUCUCGGUCAGGGUGCCACAGCACCUGAUCCUCCCCCGGCUCUUGUUGGGGGUCACUUGAUAGCUGCGCAAACAUGACUCGCAAGAUAACCCCAGAGAUUUUGAACGGAAAUCCCUAGCGUGAAAAUGGCUGCUGUUGUCUCUCUGAGUGCUUUGCAACAGAAGAACGGCUCUGUUGUUUUUCUACGGUCAACAAAUUAGUGAAAACAGGCCUGCAUUUUCUGCGCGUUGCCUUGAGUCUUCACAAGGUUGCAAACCACUGUUCUGUGAGCUAGCUUUUUUUUUUUUUUGGUUUUUGUAUAUUAAAUUUUGUAUCAUCUUGUAUAUUACACCUUUUCACAGGGCUCCAGAAGUUUUAAGAAACAUGGCAAUCGCUGCGUAUCAAGUGUCGUAAAGUGUAAUGUAGCCAUGCUAUGCAACAAAAACAAGAUGGAGACGUCGCAUGUUUCUCUUACGGCCUCUACUGAGAGUCGUAUUUUGCGAAAAUCACUACAUCAGUUUCCAGGCGGCGAAAUUCAUAGAUUUAUAGAUGUUCGGGUCAGAAGGGACCUCAACAGAUCAUCGAGUCCGACCCCCUGCAUAGGCAAGGAAGAGCACUGGGGUGAGAUGACCCCAGCCAGAUGAAAUGUCAGCUGCUCCAGAAAAGGCUUAUGUUAAAAUAUUUUCCACUGUCUAAUAGACUGCAUUUUUUGCUCUUUCCACUGUUCGUGUUUUUAUCUGAGCAAAAUGGUUCAAGUUAAUGGAAUUUAUUCAAAUACCUUUUCUGUGCCGAUCUGUCUUCACAUAUUUCCAUAAAGCCAUGAGCUAAUUUGAGACAUUGCUGAUAUUUUAGCUUCUUUCUGUUAACAAGGCAAACACAGUGCUGACACUUUUCAGUUAAAAUAUAAAGAUAUCUACAUUGUCAGAAAACAAAACACUUAUCACCUGAUAUUGUAAAACUUUUACCAUCUAGUGCAGGAAUAUUUUUGAAAGAAAGAAUCUGUGCAAAAUAGCAAGCAGAUGAUUUGGUUAUCAGCUUUCCCGCUUGUACAUCUACUUUCAAGAUAAAAGAAAUAUUACCAAUUUGUGGGAGACUAUGGGAUCAGAGCAUUAUGUACCAUUGUUUCAAUAAAAGGCUGAUGGCUAUCCAGAGGAAAUAUUCUGGGAUUUUUAUUUGAACUGAGAGCCAAGCUAUAGACUGCUAACAACCUGAAGUUGUUAUUUUUCUGUGGGAUGCAGUAAGAUGUGUUAACAAGGUGACAUACUUGUUUUAAAGCUGAAUGAAUUGGUUGCCUCAAGAAAGCAGGAACACACAUUUUGCUUUACUGGUUUCCAUAACUGGUUUCAUGAAAAUAACUGCCCUCUGGAAGAGUAAUCGGUUAGAGACUGAACUAUGAAACACUACCUUGACUUUGCAAAUUUUGACUGAAAAUGCCAGCAUUCAGCUUCCCACUCAAAUUCUAACGAACCAUCUCACUUGACUGAAGAAACAGUUUGCAACUUUGACUGUGGUCCUGGACAUGUCAAAAUAAGCACAAGGCCCAUUUCGGUUAACAACUGAUGAUUGCCAGCAACUGAAAUCAAGCAGUUUAUGAAGCUAUCCUGCAAUCAAAAUUACCAAGCAGAAGGAAACUUGGAACAGUGAAGUCUCAAGAUGGAACUGAAGCAGAAGAAAGGCUGUACAAAGAAACUGGAUAUUGGUACUGAUAACAAUUGAAACCUUAGUACAGUGGUUCUCAAAACCUUUUUUCGACUUGAGCACCCCCCCCCAUACUCUUCGUGAAUUGAGUGGCACCCUAUUUAAAAAAAAAAAAAAAGUAUAUAUUAGAGUACUUAUCUCUUUGGAGAGUGGCCAGGCAGUUAGGGUGGGGAGAUUAGCCAGGCGGGUCUGAGUCUGAGCCAGUGCUUAUCUGUUUAUUCCCUUACAGAUUCACAGAAGUUUAGGGCUGGAAGGGACCUCAUGAGAUCAUUGGGUCCAGCCACCCUGCUGUGGGCAGGAAAACCACUGGGGUCAAAUAACCCCAGCAAGGUGUGCGUGCCGUCUCCUUCUGAUGAUCUCCAGGGUAGGUGCCUGUACCACCCCUGCUGGGAGUCUUUCAGAAUCUGGUCACACAAACCAUGAAGUUUUUCCUUGUAUCCAGUAUGAAACCUUCUUCUAGGAGUUUAAGACCAUUGCUCUUGGUUUUCCCCUGGAGUGCUUUGGUGAAUAGUUGUUCACCUAGCCCCUGAUGUUCUCCCUUGAUAUAUUGGUAAGCUGCCACCAAAUCCCCCCAGAGUCUUUUCUAGGCUGAACAGGCCCAUAUUUGUCAGCCUUUCCUUGUAUGGCUUGCUUUUCAGGCCUCUAACUGUAUGAGUGGCUCUUCUCUGGACUCUCCCAAGCUUCUCCACAUCCUUCCUGAAGUGUGUUGCCCACGCCACACCUCACAACACCCUCACAAAGGACAUGGCAGCACCCCAAGAUGCCAUGGGCCCCUGGUUGAAAAUCAUUGCUUUAGUAAUAAACUCAUAAACUAUU